rnacentral:rRNA from 1 species
GGGGAAUGUUGCACAAUGGGGGAAACCCUGAUGCAGCGACGCCGCGUGAGCGACGAAGGUUUUCGAAUCGUAAAGCUCUGUCCUUGGAGAAGAUAAUGACGGUAUCCAAGGAGGAAGCACCGGCUAAAUACGUGCCAGCAGCCGCGGUAAUACGUAUGGUGCGAGCGUUGUCCGGAAUUAUUGGGCGUAAAGGGUACGUAGGCGGUUUACCAAGUCAGAUGUUAAAGCGUGGGGCUCAACCCCAUAAAGCAUUUGAAACUGGUAAACUUGAGUAGUGGAGAGGAAAGUGGAAUUCCUAGUGUAGCGGUGAAAUGCGUAGAUAUUAGGAGGAAUACCAGUUGCGAAGGCGACUUUCUGGACACAAACUGACGCUGAGGUACGAAAGCGUGGGGAGCAAAC